CCUACGGGGGGCAGCAGUGGGGAAUAUUGGACAAUGGGCGAAAGCCUGAUCCAGCCAUGCCGCGUGUGUGAGGAAGGCCUUCGGGUUGUAAAGCACUUUCAGUGGGGAAGAAAGCCUUGGGGCUAAUACCCUCGAGGAAGGACAUCACCCACAGAAGAAGCACCGGCUAACUCCGUGCCAGCAGCCGCGGUAAUACGGAGGGUGCGAGCGUUAAUCGGAAUUACUGGGCGUAAAGCGCGCGUAGGCGGUCUGAUAAGCCGGUUGUGAAAGCCCCGGGCUCAACCUGGGAACGGCAUCCGGAACUGUCAGGCUAGAGUGCAGGAGAGGAAGGUAGAAUUCCCGGUGUAGCGGUGAAAUGCGUAGAGAUCGGGAGGAAUACCAGUGGCGAAGGCGGCCUUCUGGACUGACACUGACGCUGAGGUGCGAAAGCGUGGGUAGCAAACAGGAUUAGAUACCCGAGUAGUC
rnacentral:rRNA from 1 species